UACAGGAGGGUGCAAGCGUUGUUCGGAAUUAUUGGGCGUAAAGCGCGUGUAGGCGGCUUUGCAAGUCGGGUGUGAAAGCCCCCAGCUCAACUGGGGAAGAUGCCUCUGAUACUGGUCGCCUCGAGGGAGGUAGGGGCGUGCGGAACUUCCGGUGGAGCGGUGAAAUGCGUAGAUAUCGGAAGGAACGUCGGUGGCGAAAGCGGCGCGCUGGACCUCUUCUGACGCUGAG
rnacentral:rRNA from 1 species